rnacentral:rRNA from 1 species
UACGUAGGUGACCAGCGUUGUCCGGAUUUACUGGGCGUAAAGAGCGCGCAGGCGGUCGUUCAAGUCGAGUGUGAAAGCCCCCGGCUCAACUGGGGAGGGUCACUCGAUACUGAUCGACUUGAAGGCAGGAGAGGGAAGCGGAAUUCCCGGUGUAGUGGUGAAAUGCGUAGAUAUCGGGAGGAACACCAGUGGCGAAGGCGGCUUCCUGGCCUGUUCUUGACGCUGAGGCGCGAAAGCUAGGGGAGCAAAACGGG